rnacentral:rRNA from 1 species
AGCCCAACAGCUAGCCAACCACAAUCCCCUCAACAUAACCCUUUUUAUACCCCCUAAUACACUCGACACACCUAAAUAAACCAUUCUUCCCCCUUAGUACGGGCGACGGAAACGGAAACCUAUGCGCAAUAGAGAAAGUACCGCAAGGGAAAGCUGAAAGAGUAAUGAAAUAACCCAGUAAAGCCAAAAAAAGCAGAGACUCGCCCUCGUACCUUUUGCAUCAUGAUUUAGCUAGACCCCCUAAGCAAAAAGAAUUUUAGUUUAAACCCCCGAAACCAGAUGAGCUACUCCAAGGCAGCCUAAAAUAGGGCAACCCCGUCUCUGUGGCAAAAGAGUGGGAAGAACUUUGAGUAGAGGUGACAAACCUACCGAAUCUGGUUAUAGCUGGUUGCCUAAGAACUGAAUAGAAGUUCAGCCUUUCUCCUUCUUUUUUCACAAAACCUUAAACAUCCAGACAUAAAGAAGCCUAAAGAGUUAGUUAAAGGGGGUACAGCCCCUUUAAAACAAGACACAACUUUUCAAGGAGGGAAAAGAUCAUAGACCUAAAGGUAACCAUGUUUAGGUGGGCCUAAAAGCAGCCAUCCUAGCAGAAAGCGUUAAAGCUCAAACAUCUCAUAACCCCUUAAAUCCCGAUAGCCCUAUCUAAACCCCCUAACAUUAUUAGGCCUUUCCAUGCUUCCAUGGAAGCGAUUAUGCUAAUAUGAGUAAUAAGAGACACAGCAUCUCUCCCCGCACACCCAUAAAUCGGAACGGACCCCCCACCGAAAAUUAACGGCCCCAAAAAAAGAGGGCCCUGGGCUUUCAAAUAAAUAACCAGAAAACCACCCACAACUUUAGCCGUUAAUCCCACACUGGCGUGCUCUCCCGGAAAGACUAAAAGAAAAGGAAGGAACUCGGCAAACCCAAGCCUCGCCUGUUUACCAAAAACAUCGCCUCUUGCCCCCCCCCAGAAUAAGAGGUCUCGCCUGCCCUGUGACCAUGAGUUUAACGGCCGCGGUAUUUUGACCGUGCAAAGGUAGCGCAAUCACUUGUCUUUUAAAUGAAGACCUGUAUGAAUGGCAUAACGAGGGCUUAACUGUCUCCCUUUUCCAGUCAAUGAAAUUGAUCUCCCCGUGCAGAAGCGGGGAUUAAAACAUAAGACGAGAAGACCCUAUGGAGCUUUAGACAAAGAGCAGACCAUGUUAAACACACCUAAAUAAAGGACAAAACCAAUUGGCCCCUGCCCUUAUGUCUUUGGUUGGGGCGACCGCGGGGAAACAAAAAACCCCCAUGUGGACUGAAGACAUUCCUCUUCACAACCAAGAGCCACAGCUCUAAGCAACAGAACAUCUGACCAACAAGAUCCGGCACUAAGCCGAUCAACGGACCGAGUUACCCUAGGGAUAACAGCGCAAUCUCCUUUUAGAGCCCCCAUCGACAAGGAGGUUUACGACCUCGAUGUUGGAUCAGGACAUCCUAAUGGUGCAGCCGCUAUUAAGGGUUCGUUUGUUCAACGAUUAAAGUCCUACGUGAUCUGAGUUCAGACCGGAGUAAUCCAGGUCAGUUUCUAUCUAUGAGAUGAUCUUUUCUAGUACGAAAGGACCGAAAAGAAAAGGCCCAUGUUAUAAACAAGCCUUCCCCCCAUCUAAUGAACAAAACUAAAAAAGAUAAAAGGGCAUGUUCAAACAACUCAAGAGAAUAGUAU